GGAGUUUGGUCCGUGUCUCAGUACCAAUGUGGGGGACCUUCCUCUCAGAACCCCUACUGAUCGCAGGCUUGGUGGGCCGUUACCCCGCCAACAAGCUAAUCGGACGCAUCCCCAUCCCAUGGCGUCAAACUUUAGUGCUCCUCAGAUGUCCUCAAUGCACAACAUAGGGUGUUAAUCCGCAUUUCUACGGGCUAUGCCCUACCAGGGGGAAGGUUGGAUACGCGUUACUCACCCGUGCGCCGGUCGCCAUCAAGAGUUGCAAGCAACUCCCAUGCUGCCCCUCGACUUGCAUGUGUUAAGCCUGUAGCUAGCGUUCAUC
rnacentral:rRNA from 1 species